UACGGAGGGUGCAAGCGUUAUCCGGAUUCACUGGGUUUAAAGGGUGCGUAGGUGGGUUGGUAAGUCAGUGGUGAAAUCUCCAGGCUUAACUUGGAAACUGCCAUUGAUACUAUCAAUCUUGAAUACCGUGGAGAUCAGCGGAAUAUGUCAUGUAGCGGUGAAAUGCUUAGAUAUGACAUAGAACACCAAUUGCGAAGGCAGCUGGUUACACGAAUAUUGACACUGAUGCACGAAAGCGUGGGGAUCAAACGGG
rnacentral:rRNA from 1 species